AUUGAGGUCGCUGAUGAGACAUAGUGGCUGUGACCAGGAGACGACUCUGAGGGCACUGGGCCUUAGAGAACGACCAUAUCAACUGUGGCCGUAGAGCACCUUGAAGCCCACAGGUUACCUUCCCACUGGUUCUAGACUGGUGACUCCAGGCACGAUGUGAAAAGGAGCUGUGGGUCCCAUGGGCACCGAGGGAACCCAAGCCAUGAGGCUGUGACUCCCACAACCUGCUUAUCACUUCUCUCCAGGUCAGCCUGUGAUCCAAGAAGCCUGAACAUCAGAGAUGCUCUGCAUUGUGGAGAAACUACCUCUAGCUUUCUCGGGAUCAAAGGAAUUCCAUUAGCGAAGUGCAACUGACUUUUCUUACUGCGUUUAUUGUUUGAAAGCUGUGAACUGCACCAAGUCCUUGUGAUUAAACAAUGGCUGUUGUCCUUGACAUCUUUCCUCGUUGCAGAGCCCCAUAGCAUCACUGCUCGAAGGUAAUCUUAUGUUUUCAUAGGUUUCAGGGACUGAGACAUGGAGGUGUCUAGGAAAAGCUGUUAUUCUGCCUCCCGGACUAGAUACGACUACUAUUAUGCACGGGUACAACUUAGUGACCCUGGAACUGAAUUCUGAAGUCAGGAAGACAGUCGCAACGUGGCUGCUGAUGGAACCAUCUGCACAUCCUCCUGCAUCAGGAAUGGGUCUGCCGCGUGUCCCCCUCCCAGGCUGACCAAGACAUGUGCUGUGGGAAGAGCAAUGACAACCCUUUGACGAAUUCACCAAGGCACAAGCUCUGUGAACUGCCUUCUCCUUAACCCACUACAUGUUUGAUGAAGACUUUCCAUGUCUUUGGUA
ensembl:lncRNA